rnacentral:rRNA from 1 species
GACAGAGGGUGCAAACGUUGUUCGGAAUUACUGGGCGUAAAGCGCGUGUAGGCGGCCCUGCAAGUCGGAUGUGAAAUCCCACGGCUCAACCGUGGAAGUGCAUUCGAAACUGCAGGGCUAGAGUCCUGGAGAGGAAGGUGGAAUGCUUGGUGUAGAGGUGAAAUUCGUAGAUAUCAAGCGGAACACCGGGGGCGAAGGCGGCCGUCUGGACAGUGACUGACGCUGAGACGCGAAAGCGUGGGGAGCAAACAGG